ensembl:lncRNA
GAACAGUUAAGAUUUUCACAAAUUUGCUCUCUUGAAAGGUUUGCAUUUACUUAUAUUCACACCAGCAAUAUACCUGAGCACUCAUUUUUUUUUAACUGAAAUAAUUAAAGAUUAAAAACAGGGCAUCAUUACUUUUCCAUGAGAGUCUUUUGAGCAACAAGAAUGGCUAAAUGCCAGAACUGGGAUGGGCAGUUAGUGGCACAUGAAUGCAGGCAUGAAGUGCCAUGCUCAGGCUAGGAAAGAAAGUUAAGAGGCACUUUACAGAGUCAGCUUCGAAAGAUGGAUAAAUAAGACUUAGAAAGGCAGAAGAAACAGUGUGUGAAAAAAGUACAAAGAAAUAACAAGGUGUUCUUGUGGCAGAGAAGGGUUUGUUAGAACAAGAGGUUUAUUGAUGGGAAUCAUGUGUGUGAUAUUGAAUUUUAUGUCAACUUGACUGAGCUACAGCAUGCCCAGGUAUUUGGCCAAUAUUCUGGGUAUUUUUACAAAGGUGUUUGUAUGAGAUUAACAUUUAAGUUGAUAGACUGAGUAAAGCAAAUUGCAUUCCCUAAUGUGGGUUAACCUCAUCCAAUCGGUUGAAGGUCUGAAUAGAAACCUUCAACCUUGCCUGUCUGCUUUUGAACUGGGACACUGUUUUUUUCCUGCUUUCAGGCUUGAACUAAAACAUCAGCUCUUUCCAAGUCUUGAGCCUUCCAGCUGGGACCACAAUUCACACAUGGAUGCUCCCGGGUCUGCAGACCACAGACUGCAGAGCUUGGAGUUCCACUUUGGUGGUGAGAGAAAAGAAUAUCUGAUUGGAUUAUGUGGCGUGAGCAGUGACCUACUUAUCUUGCUCGUGCGAAACCUUUCCCUGGGAUGCUAGAACCCAGACAGAAACUCCUCCCUGGUGAGAACUCGCUGGAAUCACAGACGACGCUUGCAGGGAAACAGCCGCGACUGGGUGGUCUGCCGAGGAAGAACGCACCUGAAGAAGACCACCCCUCUUCCCAGCCCACGGGGUCUCUUCCCAACCACGCUCCUCCUUCCUUCUUCCCGUCUCUCUGAAGGGACCCCACGCAUUUCCCUCUGGCUCUCCUGGCACAAUCCGGAUCGUGGAUUCAAUCAACGUCUAUGAGGGAAUUCUAAGGCUUUUCUCUGAAUCUGCUGUUUCCGACCCUCCCUGCGACCCCCACUGAUGGGUGGCUGGCAGAUGGAGAAUCGGGGGAAGAAGGAGAGGAGACAGGAAAAACCAUUCCUAGUUAACAUCUUAAAAAAAAAAAUAGUAUGCCGCCACGUCACCAGUCCCAAUUCUUACUUCUCUUCAGCUAAAACUCUCCAUGGUCUUGUAUUCAGACCAGUUUUCUUCAUUUCUCCAAACUUUCCGUGUUAGCUAUUCUUGUACCACUUCUAUCAUUUCCUGCCCCUCUGCUUCCAAAACUCCUCUUCCACUAUCUUAGCUCUGCCCAAAGACCUAAUAGAGUGUGUCUAAUACCUAGUAUAGUGUAUAUAAUAUGUGUAAAUAUGUGAACCCCGAACAUUUGAGACAGGUCUCAGUUAAUUUAGAAAGAUGGUUUUGGCAAGGUGACGAAGUUUAUUUUGCCACGACACAGCCUCAGGAGGUCCCGAUGACGGGCUCAAGGAGUGGCCAGAGGGCAGCUUGGUUUUACACAUUUCAGGGAGAAAUGAGACCUCAAUCAACAUAUGUAAAACAAACAUUGGUUCAUCCAGAAAGGCGGCCCCACUGGAACUGAGGAGGGGGCUUUCAGGUCACAGGUAGGGGAGGGACAAACGGUUGCAUUCUUUUGAGUUUUUGAUUAGCUUUUCCAAAAGAGACAACCAGAUAUGCAUUUAUCUCAGUGAGCUGAGAGAAUAGAAUGGGAGAUACCUUUGCCAUAAGCCAUUCCCAGCUUGAAUUUUCCCUUUAGUUUAAUGAGGAAUAAUUUGGGGACCUGAGAUGUUUUCCUUUCACAAAUACUAUAUAUGUAAAUAUUAUUACAACAUAUAUAAUAUUAUAUAUAUAUAUAUAUAUAUAUAUAUAUAUAUAUAUAUAUAUAUAUUGGUUUAAACAUUUCUCUGGCUAGUUAUCAUUUUAGGCAGAAAGAUUCUUCACCCAUAAAGGAUUUAUUAAAUAAACACAACUGAAAAGUUACUCAGACACAUAUGUCAGUAAACAAGUCUACUUACCGAAAAUUAUAAUAAGCAAUAAUAAUAAAAGGGUUAAAAUUUAAAUAAUAAUAGAAGGAUUUCACAUUCAGAAAUAUGAUAUUGUUUGAAGGGAUUUCUGGGAGUCAUUUUAGUAAAUAGGCUCACCUUUUAACGUUACUUGCUUUAUAUGAGCGAAAAGCAUGCUCAUUAGCAAAACCUACAGCAAGGUGCAUGGAAUUAUAUGAGUAACAGUUCUGUCUAAACACAUAGCUACUAUCCUAAUGAACAUCUCUAUUAUUUAGUUAAUAUCACCAUUAACUGAAAAUAUAGGGCUUUGCAUUGAAACAACUUUUAGCUACUGAAAAGUUAUUUGUGAUGUUUAUAAUUAGAUAAAAAGUUAAAUUUUAAUUAACUUUAGCAUAAUAUGGAAGAACCAAGACCUGACUCUCUUAAAUGCUAAUAUAGCAUUUUCAAAGGAAAAGAAAAAUUGACUAGGAUGAUGAAACCCAAAUUAUUCCUCUUCUGUUUUUCUUUUCUCCACACACAGCAUUACUGCUCAUCUUUCUAGCCAGAUAACUGGCCCUCAGUAAUGAUUUAAAUAUAUUUUGGUUAAAUGAUAAAUGAGAUUAAAAGCUCCCCUUGUGAUUGAAGGUUUUCCCUUUUCUAUGUUAAGUUUAAUUUUUACUAAAAUAAUACAGAAUUUACUUAGUCAAGACUACUUAAUUUCUUAGAACCACAGCAACUGGAAAUUUUUUAGCAGAACAGGAUUUCCUUGUUUUUAAGAAAGUCAGAUAUAUCAACAUGCUUAUCGCCAAGCCUGGCUGCAGCCCCGUGGGCAGAGGCCCAGCCACACAGAUUGCUGCAUUAGCGUUUGUUUCCAUGGAUUCUUUCAAACUUUUCUUCAUUUGCUGAAGGAAUGACUGAGAUGCUUCAGAUUUUGCCCCAGAACAUCAAACAAGUUCUCACCCUGGGUUUUCUGGUUUGGUUUUGAUUCUGUUUCUGUUCUGUUUUGUGUUUGCUUUUCAUCAAGGAAAAAGUAAAUGCAACUUUUAGAAGAGUUUCUCUUUUCAAUGAAAGAGAAAGUACUUCUCUAGAUUCUUUGGAAUUUUCCCUUUCAUUCUACAUUAGGCAGUGUGCACCAGAAUGGGAAACCCUGGGGCGCCUCUAAAGCUUGGUCAUCAGGCAUGGAGCUGGCUGGACCACAGAGAGGUACAGACUGGGUGACUACAUCUUCAGAGGAAGUGGGCUUGCGUGUCUAUGAUUCACUCUGUGCCUUUUUCUUAGUAUAAUGAGUUCCAAGAAAACCAGAUUUUGAUACUGCAUCAAGUCAGAAAUAGCUUUAUAAUUAAAGUUGUAUUUGAAAGAGAAGUCUCAUCGUUUUGGAAUGACCUGGGCUUAGCUUUUCUACUUCAACUCCAAUCUCCUUUCCCCCAGUAUCCAAGUGUUCUGUUAUUAGUAACCUUGUAAAAGUAAACUCAAAAGUGGCAGCAAAUAUCAAAUACUUUGUUCAGCUUUUCUUUAAAAAAUAAGGUUAAAAAAAGAUAGACUUUUUUUAUUGCAAUAUCAAUAAUCCUCUGUAUUCUAGAGACUUAAGGUACUUAGCAUACACACCAUUUUAAUUCAGACUUGUUAUAAUUAUGUAUCAUUCAGUUUUUAUGCCUAGAAUAUGGCCUUGUUAGACCCAAGUCAAAACGUUACCCUGAAGCCUGGGCACAGUCUCCAGUUCCAUCUUAGGACAACAUCACCAGGCCCAUUUUCUCCAUGAAGCCUCCUUCUAAUUGUUUAAAAAAUUUUAUUUUCAAGUGAUGAGUAUUUAUCAUGAGGAGGGAGUAGCUUUCCUGUCUCAUGAACUGCAGUUUCUCUUACAUUCAUUAUUCAAGUUCAAAAUGUAAUAGUAAUUUACUGAAUUAAGAUCACCCCUAAAAUUCAGAGGUACUGCAGAGGAGCCAGCAUGUUCUCUUUUGGAAGUGAACAUGGACUAAGCCCGCUCUACUAGAAGCACUGUGGGUGGUGAGCACAGGUGAUGGGGAAACCCUGUUCUCACAGCCACCUCCAGAAGAGAUGGUGCACAGACAGACACAGGGUGAAGAAACGAAGUGGCAGAAAAAAGAAAAACAUUCUUUUUUUUUUUCUUUUUUGAGACGGAGUUUCACUCUUGUUACCCAGGCUGGAGCGCAAUGGCGCGAUCUCGGCUCAACGCAACCUCCGCCUCCUGGG